rnacentral:lncRNA from 1 species
AGGCUAUAUAUUUAUAUAUAUAUAUAGGGAGCUAGGCUUCUAUAAUAUCUAUAGUAGCGGAGCUCUGGUAUUAUAGUCUUAUUUUCAGCUUUAGAAUGUUCAAAUUAACGAUCUACAGUAUUAAAACUGAUCUAAGAUAUUUAAAAUUUUAUAUAUUUUUUUAAAAAGUCAAACUAUUUCAGAAUUGUCAAUUUUAAAUGGCUAUUGUAGCGACUUUGUAAUUUAACGAUAUAAAAAAAUCUAAAUUUAUUCAAAUUUUAAUAAAAAAUACUUUAAACUAUCUAGAUCAAAAUCAGUAUCUUUGAUCUUGAAUUCAAAAGUUCUAUCCUUAAUUUUUAAAGAUUGAUCAGUUUUUACUAUUCAUUUUGAUAUGAUUUAUUUAUUAAGUAAACGAUGUCGAAAAAACUUAAAUUUUUUUUCCAAAAGCUUCAUAUACUCUAAACCAUAUUUAACAUAUGAAUCAUUAAUUUGAACAACCAAAAAUCGAAAAUAAGACUAUAAUACUGAAGCUUCGGGACUAUACAUAGUAUAAGUGUAUAACAACCUUUCUCUCUCUCUCUCUCUCUCUCUCUAUAUAU